AUUCUGCUGGUCCCUGAACGAAAGGGCGAUGGCGAUCAGGGUUUGGUGUUGGAUUUUGCUACCUAUUAAAAGUGGAAUCUAAUGACCGUUGAAGGUUGUGACGAUAUAAAGAACCAGAGGUUGUGUAUAUUUGCAGUCUUGUUUUAUUGGUUCAGAUGAGACCCAAACAAGAUGGGCCUGAUGGUGAAGUAGGUGUUUGGUAUGAAACUGCUUUGAAUUCGAUUUGGAUCUUCUAGUUGUUUUGUAUAGAUAGAAUUUGUUGACUUGAGGCCAAAGUUCAUCUUUAUUAAUAUGCUUAUGUGUUUUGAUUGGCCUGAUGGUGAUGACUGCCAGGGCAUCUAGUUCUGCUUGCGAUUUGAUUUGGACCGAAAACCGCAUGAUUUUGUUCUGAAGUUCAGAAUAUAAUGAUUUGGAAAUUUCCCUUGUUUUUUAUCAAUCAAAUAAGCGGAGCUUUGCUGUUAUUUUUCAGGCCUCGUUUGCGGUGUUUGACACACGAGGGUUAGAUGUUAUGGUUAGCUGAUAACUCCAUAGGUUCUUAUGGUGAUCUGAUUGGAUGGCUAUGAGGUUGGAUUUUAUACUGAUUUGCGGAUGCAAUGGAAUGUUGAAUUUCAAAAUUGUCUAUCUGGAUCUAUUGAUUUGCAGGAGAUAGUAAUCGUGUUGCGGAUUUGAGCUUAUGUCUGCACCUUUUCAGUCUUUGGAUAGAGUCCAUUUGUAAAGGUUUUCAUUGGUUUGCUGCAUAUGGAUUAUUGUUUUUGGUUA